GCUACGCGAUAUCCUCCUUGGGGCAAUGCUGUCCAACUGGUUCAAUUUGCCGUAAAAAAAAUAUUUGCCGGGUGUUAUAUGAUCAAUGGUUUUAUACCUUUUAGCCUCUUAUAGUUAUAAUGAUACGUGUGUAGUGGAAGGAGAUGAAUACAGAUUUGGUGAAAAGAUUUUCCCAAGUUACACUUGUCUAGAAUGCGUUUGUCAAAAGGGAUUUGUUGAAGGAAAGUACGAACUACCCUUUUGCAAAAAUGCACUUUGUAGAGAACAAUUGCGCAGUCACGGUCCAAGUAUUCAAGCGUCUUGCGCUCCCGUCUAUAGCAAAUCUGAGCCUAGAGGAAUACUUUGUUGUCCUCAAAACUGGCUAUGCCCUAAUGGAAGUGAAAUCAUCAAGGGCGAAAUUACAUCAGAGGAAACCUGUAAAUUUGGAAACAAAACUGUAAAAGUUGGACAGUACUUUGAAAGAUCAAAUGCUAGAUGUGAGUGUGUUAUUCCACCUCUCAUGAAAUGUC